AGGACGAACGCUGGCGGCGUGCUUAACACAUGCAAGUCGAGCGGUAAGGCCUUUCGGGGUACACGAGCGGCGAACGGGUGAGUAACACGUGGGUGAUCUGCCCUGCACUCUGGGAUAAGCCUGGGAAACUGGGUCUAAUACCGGAUAUGACCUGCUCUCGCAGUGGGGGUGGGUGGAAAGAUUUAUCGGUGCAGGAUGGGCCCGCGGCCUAUCAGCUUGUUGGUGGGUAAUGGCCUACGAAGGCGACGACGGGUA
rnacentral:rRNA from 1 species